rnacentral:rRNA from 1 species
UACGGAGGGUGCAAGCGUUAUCCGGAUUUACUGGGUUUAAAGGGUGCGUGAGCGGUGCGGUAAGUCGGAAGUGAAAUCUCUGGGCUUAACUCAGAGGCUGCUUUCGAAACUGCCGUGCUGGAGUGCGGGAGAGGCGAGUGGAAUUGCAGGUGUAGCGGUGAAAUGCGUAGAUAUCUGCAGGAACACCCGUGGCGAAGGCGGCUCGCUGGACCGCAACUGACGCUGAGGAACGAAAGCUAGGGGAGCAAACAGG